GUUAUCAGGUUCCUUGCAGAGGGGUCGUUUUACCGCUGAAUCAGCGAUCGUUUGUAAAAUAAUAUAUUUUUUUUUUUUAUUUCUUUCGGAACAGUUUACUCAUUUUCGUUACCGCGGAAAGACGUGAGAAGCUUCGAGGCCUCCACGUACAUAUAAUAUCUGGGUUUAGAGGUGAGGAGGAGCGGCGCGAUUUCAUUCUACAGCAUCCGCAUCAUGAGCUGCGUAUACGUAUAUUACAGCCGAAGCAAACGGCUGUAUAUUUGUUUAAGCUUGCACCAGAGAUAUCUCCUGUUUAUCAGGUGUUUAUGUUCGGAGUGCCGCAUAAUUAUCAAACAAUUGAAAAGAAGUCGGAAAUACCAUUCCCGGAAUUAUUAGAUUAUUAAUUCUUCACCGAGUUCGUCGUAAUUCCUUUGAAUUAUAUAUUUACACAAAUAUUUCUAUUACAUCUCCGGAGGUUCCUCGCUUUCUUCGCCAUCUCCCGUACAUCAAUCUCUAAACAUCGAAUCCCUGCGCGCAACAAUUGCUGUCAAAUAUUACUUACACGAUAAUAAUUGUUAUUUAUUUAUUUUUUUUUAAUAAUUAUUAACGGUAAUAGUCGAUGAAAUGAGGCCGGGGGAAAAAAUGGACGUCUGGUGUGCGGCCAUUCAGGUGAUCGUCCGCUGCCCCAAUGAGAGCCGUUCACCUCGACCCAAACACCUGUCUGAUCAUUACCUGACUAUACGCAGCGACCAAUCGGAUGCGAUCUCACCGCAAAUCGGUGAUGGAGUCGGUGCAAACCGGCAUAUAACGUGGGCGCGGGAAUACCUAUAUACACGAAGGUAUACGUAUAACGGGUAUGUAUCCACUGUACGUGUGUAUACUAGAUGUACGAAAUGAUUUCACUACGGGCGGGAUGAGAUGCGGAGAUGGUAUAAUAAGGGGGAGGGAAAAUAAACAUCGUUGCGUGCGAGAUGAUCCACGAUA